AUCUUCGGCCAUAGGACAGAGAAAAUACCGCAUCCCGUCCGAUCUGCGCAGUCAAGCUCUGUACCGCUUAGUUAGUACCAUAGUGGGGGACCAUAUGGGAAUCCUGAGUGCUGAAGUU
rnacentral:rRNA from 1 species